rfam:Allomyces macrogynus ATCC 38327 genomic scaffold supercont3.44, whole genome shotgun sequence.
UUGCCGUUGGUCUAGUGGUAGAAUACUACCCUCCCAAGGUAGUGGCCUGGGUUCGAUUUCCGGACGGCGCA